rnacentral:rRNA from 1 species
CACGUAGGCACCAAGCGUUGUCCGGAUUUAUUGGGCGUAAAGAGCUCGUAGGCGGUUCGGUAAGUCGGGUGUGAAAACUCUGGGCUCAACCCAGAGCCGCCACCCGAUACUGCUGUGACUUGAGUUCGGUAGGGGAGCGGGGAAUUCCUGGUGUAGCGGUGAAAUGCGCAGAUAUCGGGAAGAACACCCGUGGCGAAGGCGGCUCUCUGGGACGGUACUGACGCUGAGACGCGAAAGCGUGGGGAGCGAACAGG